GGCUGGUUCGCUCAAAUGGUCAGAGUGCAGUGCUUAUAGUGCCAAGGUCAUGGGUUCAAUCCCCAUACUGGCAA
rnacentral:tRNA from 1 species